CCGGUGAAGAUGCCGGAUACCUGCGACAGGACGGAAAGACCCCAUGGAGCUUUACUGUAGCUUGACAUUGGGUCUUGGUACUACAUGUACAGGAUAGGUGGGAGGCUUUGAAACCAGGACGCCAGUUUUGGCGGAGCCAUCCUUGGGAUACCACCCUUGUAGUACUGGGACUCUAACCAUAGGCCAUGAAUCUGGUCUUGGGACACUGUCAGGUGGGCAGUUUGACUGGGGCGGUCGCCUCCCAAAAGGUAACGGAGGCGCUCAAAGGUUCUCUCAGUACGGUCGGAAAUCGUACGUAGAGUGUAAAGGCAAAAGAGAGCUUGAUUGCAAGACAUACAGGUCGAGCAAGGAUGAAAAUCGGACUUAGUGAUCCGGUGGUUCUGCGUGGAAGGGCCAUCGCUCAACGGAUAAAAGCUACCCUGGGGAUAACAGGCUUAUCUCCCCCAAGAGUCCACAUCGACGGGGAGGUUUGGCACCUCGAUGUCGGCUCAUCACAUCCUGGGGCUGUAGUAGGUCCCAAGGGUUGGGCUGUUCGCCCAUUAAAGUGGUACGCGAGCUGGGUUCAGAACGUCGUGAGACAGUUCGGUCCCUAUCCGUCGCAGGCGUAGGAAAUUUGAGAAGACCUGUCCUUAGUACGAGAGGACCGGGAUGGACG
rnacentral:rRNA from 1 species